AGUGGAAAGGAAACAAACGAUCCUACACGUUUUAGCCUCCACUUUUAGUGUUAUUACUUAAUUUUUUAGGUUAAGGAAUGGUAGAGUCCCCCCCACCCUCCAUGAAUCCGGAAGUAUAAUGCUAAAUAUGGACUGGAAAGCGGAAGUAAUACGCCAACAAACACAUGAACGCGGAAGUGGAAAGGAAACAAACGACCCUACAAGUUUUAGCCUUCACUUUUAGUGUUAUUACUUAAAUUAGCAUGUUUACAGCAAAGACAAUUGACAUGACUGUUUGGAACAUCACUAUAUUGUGCACCAAAAGCUGGUCCAGAAAAUCUGUCAUCUGCUGGUGCUGGUAUUGAUACUGCUGUGGCUGCUCCGGUCCCCGGUUCUGACUCUUCCCCCACGGCCCCUUCUCUCCGAUCCGCCACCGCGAGGUGCCGUGUAGCCCUCCACUCGGAGGCCGGAGUAGGAGCUUCUCGACGCGGGACAACUGGGACGCGGCCAUCGGCAACUGUCGCCGCAUGAACAACCGCAGGAAGGCCAUCACAUCACUCGCUAAAUCUGUGUGAGGCGGAAAAGUAUCAACACGACCUCUGAGUGACCUCUGAACUCUCACACAAUCGACGAGUAACCGGGAAGAGUGGGUGCCACGCUGUAAACUGGGGAAUCUCACAUGGGACUUUGUGUGUUGACAGUAGAGUCUCUUACAAGGCCAGACCUUUGAUGUGAUGCACAGCUGACCUUCUGCUAGUUGCACACUACUGUGUCGAAAACAAUAGGACAGCAGUGUUUGUAUACACAAAUUCCCUACUUACAAUUAGAUAUUCAGAGGAAAAAAACAUGGUCAUAGACAAAGGAAGAGGGCGGAGCAGGUGACACAAGUCACUCAAUAAAUGAACAUGAAAAGUAACUAUUUUUUAUUCCGGUUGUAUAUCUUAUUAUACUUUCCUUUAGAAGUGUCACAUUUUUAAUAUACUGUAUUUCUCGUGGUCUGUUGCAUAUAUUAUUUUGACCCAGUGUAGUGUCCUAGUCCAGCCUAGAUUUACAUAUCCAUUGAAAGUCAUAGUUUUUACCAUUGUCUUUAAUUUGUAAAACAACAUAUCACUCAUGCUUAAUCAAUGACAAAUAAAAAAAAAGUGAAAUAUAAUAUGAAUAUCCAUCCUAACCAGAAAAUAAAAACCAUGUAAACAAGGGCACAACAAAUAAUAGUAAUACAUUAAAAAUACAACAUUUCAAAUGAGUUCAACCAGAACGUUUGCACACAAUAACUUUACAUAUACACGAUGCAAUCAUUAUUUACAAACACAAAAUGAAGUAACUUUACAAAAGCUAUGUUAAAUACGGUACCUAUAUAGAACUACAGUAAUCUACAACUACAGUUAUGCUGUUUCGUGGUUGAAUAAGGCCUUCUUACUUUAAAACAACGUAUGAUUAAGCAGAUUUUUCUGACGAAAUGAAGCAUUUUCAAGCCGAAAAAUAUCUAAUUGACCUACAAUACAAAUAUAAGGCAUUUAGAAGUUGCAUUCAAAUACAUUGUAUCAGUAAUGUUUUUAUUGUACAGAACAAGAAGUUUAAAAAAAAAAGGGGAAGAAACUUUCCCAAUAAAAAUAACCAAUUACCUAAAAAUGUCAUCCAAUACUUCUCUACAAGAGAGAAGAAAUAUGAUCUCAGGGAAGAACUAAAUUUGAAACACUUAUAUGCUAGGACUACGUUAAAAAGCCAUAGCAUUUCAGUAUGUGGAAUCAAACUAUGGAAUGGAUUGAGUAAGUAUCAAACAAUGCACAACAAUGAGCCAAUUCAAGAAACAAUACAAGCAGUUGAUGUUUGCUAAAUACAAGGAUGAAGAGUCUUGAACCAGUCAUGAUGUGCUAUAUAUAUCACUAUAUUGACACUUACUAUGGUACCCAUUAUGUCAUUGUAUGGUCAUAUCACCUCGUACUUCGGUACGAGGUACAUUAUUUAAAAAAAACAAAAAAAAAACAACCUUAAACUGUAUUAUGGAAAGCAGGAAUUUAACAAAUGAAACAGUUACUGAUUGUAAAAGUAAACUGUAUUACGGAAAGCAGGAAGUGAACAAAUGUAAUAGUUACUGAUUGUAAAAGUACCAGAUGGAGGGGUAGGAUUUAAUAAGCUUUGCUUCUUCCUACUCCUUUUGGACAUGUGGAACUGUGAACUGAUUAUGUGAUGCACUCAAUUGUAAUCUGAUGCAUGUUCAAAUGAAAUAAAUCAAAUGAAAUAAAAUUGCCAUUACCAUUACCAAUGCUAAUAUGCAUGAGUCUAUUAUUUAUUUAUGUCUAAUAUAACUUAUUGUCUCUUAUAAUG